AACGUUCACACCACGCCGAAUAUACCGGCGUUCUUCCGAUCAGCGAAGUUAAGCAGUCGGGCGCGGUCAGUACUUGGAUGGGUGAUCGCCUGGGAACACCGUGUACUGUU